CACCAUAUAUAUAUAUAUAGAAAGCUUAGAAGAACCACAGAACCAUACAGCUAGCUUGCUAGCCCACCAGUGAACAAGGUAGAGAUUUCUCCAUGAACUCUUUAAUUUCUUCCUUCCUUCCUUCCUCCUGAGAGUAAACCCUUUUUCAAGAUCUAAUUCAUGCAGUGAAUUGAUAUAUAUCUUCUGUUUCUUUUUGUAGAUUCAGGUGCUGCAAUGAUUAUGCAUGUUAAGAUCAGUGGUAGAGUGGUAGUAGAUGGAGGAGGAGGAGGAGGAGGAGAAAGUAUGUAUUCAUGUUGGAAAGUACUACUGGUAUAGAUGAUAACCGACGGUAUCCUAUCUGAGCUUUCAUUCUCCGUCAAAUUUUACUCACCAUCGAUCUUCUGCUUCUUUUCUGCCAUCCAACACCGUUAUCGAUCUUCUUGACCUUGUAAGACCUUUUCUUGACCUUGUAAGAUCCGAUAUAUGGGUGUAUAUCAAGUUAGCGACAAUCUUACCAAUUCCUUUCCACAUCUCCCAUCUCAAAAAACACCACUCCAUCUAUCCCUCCUGAGCUUUUAAUUUAAUUAAUUUCUCACAACAUUGUAAUGCGAAUUCCUGAAUAAAUCAUUUUUUUAAGUACUGACUGUUCUUGCUUUCUCCUGCGCGUUUUGAUGAUGUCAAUGAUUAUCCUUUUUUUGUUCACAAUGUCUUGUUGACUCUGGUUGUCAUUAAUAUUUGUUGGGUUGGUAGAAGAAGGAGAGAAAGAACUGCAACCAGUGAGUGAGCAAAUUAAAUGAAUUUAUAGAGAGGUUUUUGAGGUGAUGGUGAAUCGGUGAUUGAUAUAUUCUCAUCCCGUGACCAAGAACAGCUACAAUCGAUUUAUGUGUGAAAAAAUAAAUUUACUGGAUCUACAGUUGAUUAUAUAUGGACCUACUUUUGCCUAUUUUUUGUAUUAUUCUUUAAUCUGCUUGUUCCCAAGCUUGCGUCUCAUCAAAUUGAAGCAGCUUUGGAAUUUAUUGUAGAUGUUUCUAUUCCAAAGAACGGGAUCUAGGUUCUAGCUGACUGUAUGACAUAUGUUUGCAAAUUGUAGUUUUUGUUUAUCGAUCGAUCUAUCAAUUGGUCAUGGCAAAUGCAUGGGGAUGGAUCACUGCAGCUGGAUUGAUUAAUUAGGGAAGAUCGACAUAUCCAAAAAUAAUAAUGUAUACUUAUACUAUUUAUUUUCACCACCUUCAAAUUUGAAAUCUGAGCCUUAUUGUUUUUUUUUAAUUUACAUAUGUAUCUAUCUGCUGUUCAAUUUCAAAUCAACGGUGAUCUGAAAAUUUUGAUAUAGAUUUUUUUGCUCACCCCACAUUUUGAUUUAGACAUUUGAAUUUAAAUUAUUUUUUCUUUUCGGUCAUUUUAAAUAAAUAAAAACGAUCAUAUCUCACCAUCAAAUUAAAAGAAUUUGUCUUGAAGUCGCAAAUUUACAGUAACUUUUAUAGUAUUAAAUAUAGGACUUUAUUUACAAAUAACUUUUGGGUAUCGGGUAAUCAGAUGGGUGAAAAGUGUUGGCAUAUCCUACCCGAUUUGAUCGGGUAAAAAAGAUUCGGGUUCAAGUCGGUUAAAAGCUACUGAUUGGUUGAAAAAUCUCACUCAUAAGUCAUACCCUACUCAAUGUCAUCGGGAUGGGGGUGAAAAAGUUUACCCAUACUACCAUACUUACCGGGUAAGCAAGGGUUCAGAUAAAAACUACUGAUCGGUAGAAAAAUCUUACUCAUACCUUACCGAAUGCCGUCGGGUUGGGUUCCAAUCGGGUAUCGGAUAUUACCCUAUCCACGGUUGGCCUUAAUUAAAACUUUUAAUGUAUACCUUUAGAUAUUGGUUUUCUAAGAGGUUCAAUAUUUUUUGUAUAAUCUAUCAUUAACACAAAUAAGAAAUUAAUUGACCAAUUGCCGAUGAUCGAUAGAUUAAAUCAAAAAUCAUAUUUAUGUGUUUCAUGUAAUUAGUUUCCUGGGACGAAGUUGGUGGCGUAAUUCCAUGCGUUGUUUGCGACAGGAUCGGCGAGGUGGUCUGCAAGAUUCUCCAAUGGGCCCUUUCCGGUGACGAUGGCUUGAACGUAGAAUCCGAACAUGGAGAACAUGGCUAGUCU
rnacentral:lncRNA from 1 species